UACAGAGGUCUCAAGCGUUGUUCGGAUUUAUUGGGCGUAAAGGGCGCGUAGGCGGCGGGGUAAGUCGGGUGUGAAAUCUCAGGGCUCAACCCUGAAACUGCACUUGAUACUGCUCUGCUUGAGGACUGGAGAGGAGACUGGAAUUCACGGUGUAGCAGUGAAAUGCGCAGAUAUCAGGAGGAACACCCGGUGGCGAAGGCGGGUCUCUGGGCCGUAACUGACGCUGAGGAGCGGAAAGCGU
rnacentral:rRNA from 1 species